rnacentral:rRNA from 1 species
GAUGAACGCUGGCGGCGUGCCUAAUACAUGCAAGUCGAGCGAACGGACGAGAAGCUUGCUUCUCUGAUGUUAGCGGCGGACGGGUGAGUAACACGUGGAUAACCUACCUAUAGACUGGGAUAACUUCGGGAAACCGGAGCUAAUACCGGAAAAUAUUUUGAACCGCCUGGUUCAAAAGGGAAAGACGGGCUUGCUGUCACUUAAAGAUGGAUCCGCGCUGCAUUAGCUAGUUGGUAAGGUAACGGCUUACCAAGGCAACGAUGCAUAGCCGACCUGAGAGGGUGAUCGGCCACACUGGAACUGAGACACGGUCCAGACUCCUACGGGAGGCAGCAGUAGGGAAUCUUCCGCAAAGGGCGAAAGCCUGACGGAGCAACGCCGCGUGAGUGAUGAAGGUCUUCGGAUCGUAAAACUCUGUUAUUAGGGAAGAACAUAUGUGUAAGUAACUGUGCACAUCUUGACGGUACCUAAUCAGAAAGCCACGGCUAACUACGUG